rnacentral:rRNA from 1 species
AGCCUGAUCCAGCCAUGCCGCGUGAUUGAUGAAGGCCCAUAGGGUUGUAAAGAUCUUUCAACAGUGAAUGAAAUGACGGUAACUGUAGAAGAAGCUCCGGCUAGCUCCGUGCCAGCAGCCCCGGUAAUACGAGGGGAGCUGGCGUUGUUCGAAUAUUACUGGGUAAAGUUAAUGUAAGUUGAUGAUUAAGUCACAGGUGAAAUCCCGGGGUUCAACCCCGGAACUGCCUUUUAUACUGGUAGUCUAGACGUCAAGAGAGGUGGGUGGAAUUCCGAGUGUGGAGGUGAAAUUCAUAUAUAUGCGGAGGAACACCAGUGGCGAAGGCGGCUCAGUGGCUCGAUACUGACGCUGAGGUGCGAAAGUGUGGGUAGCAAACAGGAUUAGAUACCCUGGUAGUCCACACCGUAAACUAUGAAGGCUAUUCGUCAGGGGACUUAUUUUUUGGUGACGCAGCUAACUCAUUAAUCAUUCCCCCGGGGGAGUACGGUCGAAAAAUAAAAAC